CACACACCAACGGCAAAGCAAACGCACAAACACAACCCCCACAAUGAUGCUGUUUGUUUAUCCUUUCCAACUUACCCAGACGCAAUUUAUCACAGAAAAGAUUUGACAUUUUUCAAUAUUACAGAGAAACCAAAGCAUACACAAACACACCAUUCAGCACAAACGUAGACCAAUCCUUCCCCUACCCACACACACCAACGGCAAAACAAACGCACAAACACAACCCCCACAAGCACCUCAAACGUAACCCUUACUCAAACCUAACAGUCCCAAAUUUUUAUCUGGAAAUCUUAACCUUUUUCGAUAUCACAGCCAAACGGUAGCAUGCACAAACACGCCACUCAGCACAAACGUAGAGGGAUAAUUUGCCUACCCACACACACCAACGGCGGAACAAACGCAUAAACACAACCGCCACAAUCACCCCGUUUGUCUGACCCUUCUCUCUCCUCUCCUCCCCCACAGCCGCUGCCGGAGUUAAGCGCUCACCGACCUCUACCGAAUAUCUUCAAUAUCUAUACGGUUGCGACGGUGCUUCUACAGUUUGGUUGCCACUUUACCGCCCUGCUCUACCUGGUCAACCAAGCCAACCACCUGGACAACCACACUGCUAUAGGGGCCGACCUUACAUGGAGGGGCUGAGCGAGAACCGGCCGCUCCUAUACAGCCUCAUGGGAGCCUUUGGUCUCAUCCUCGCUCUCUCCCUCGGCAUCUUCCCGGACUUUGGGAGGCAGUUUGAGAUCGUCGAGUUCCCGAGUGAGUUCCGGGUGACCCUCAUACAAGUUCUGUGCCUGGACUUCGCGCUGUCGUUCGUCAUAGAUAGAGUCUGUCUGAAGA